AAACAUAAAGCAUUUGCACAAUACGCAGCGGAUAGAAAUCAAAUCAAUCAUGCAAAACAUGUAACACAUUACAUGUAAAAUUAUUCAACAAGGUAAAACAUCCCGUCCCGAUGUUACAUCUAUCAGAGCAUGACCCACUAAGGAGACUACACUAGACUCCAAGCACUAGCUUCUACUCAAUCACUGCUCGUUACCUGAAAAAUAGUUGUAAGGGUGAGUUCCUCAAUCGAUAUAAAAAGCAUUAUAAAAUAUCAUGUAAUGCUAAGUAAAUAACACAUUAAUC
rnacentral:lncRNA from 1 species